UACAGAGGGUGCAAGCGUUAAUCGGAAUUACUGGGCGUAAAGCGUGCGUAGACGGUUACGUAAGUCGGGUGUGAAAGCCCCGGGCUCAACCUGGGAAUUGCAUUCGAGACUGUGUAGCUAGGGUGCGGAAGAGGGAAGCGGAAUUUCCGGUGUAGCGGUGAGAUGCGUAGAUAUCGGAAGGAACAUCAGUGGCGAAAGCGGCUUCCUGGUCCAGCACCGACGUUCAGGCACGAAAGCGUGGGGAGCAAACAGG
rnacentral:rRNA from 1 species